rnacentral:rRNA from 1 species
AUGGACGCACGGAUGAGGCUGAUAAUUCAGGCAUCAACACUGAUUAGUGUGAUUCAGGCAUGGGUCAUGUUCAUGCACCAGAGAGCUGUUCGUCGUGCUGGGAGACCUUUGAUCCGCUAUGGUCCAUUGUUUGUCCGGGAACAUGAGAGGAUCCAAAAUCUGAACUACAUCUACAACUGCAAUGGCGUCGAGGUUUUGUGGAUGCUUCGAAUGAAAAGAGCACCAUUUGCCAGGCUUGUCGAGACCUUCAGGAGCAGGGGGCUGCUACAAUAUAACAUCAACACCAGUGUGGAAGAGCAAGUGGCCAUGUUCCUCCAUGUUGUUGGCCAUAACCAGAGGUUCAGGGUCAUUCACAACACGUUCAGGAGAUCAAUGGAGACCAUCUCUAGGUACUUCAAGCAGGUGCUUUUUUGGGGAGGUUAG